AUAUUUUUAAAACAUUUUACAUUGCACGUCAGUUAUAGAGGAAUGCUAAAGGUUUGGUUGGACGUUUGCAAUCUAAUAGAUGAAACAUAACCAGCAAAUAUAUUCAAAGAUUUUCCUCCGCGUGUAAACUCACUAAAAGUUUAAGAAGAUGAAGACAACUUGAAUUUAUGAUUUUCUUGAAACUUUAGUACCUCCUUUAUAGCUCUUUUUCCAACAUUAAUUAACAAAAAAAUUAUUAUAAUGUACAUUUAUUGAAUUAUACAAAUUGAAGUUGAACUCCAAAUAAAUUGUUAGCAGCCAUCUUGGAAAACCCUUUUUCGCAUUUCGAACGAACGAAGUGUCAAAUAUCGAUAAUUACUUCAUCGCACGCGGCUGAACUAAAAAUUUUUAUGGGAAUUGAGCUUUCUUAGAAAAGUUAGAUUUUUUAAAACGAUCUCGAAAUUGAAAUGUAAAAAUCAAUUUCGCGCCAUAAAAUAGUAUUAUUCGAUACUCGCACUUAAAAAGCAAGAAAAAUAUAGAAGCGAGUUGCGAUACAAACAACUCGAAUAAGUAAGGGGUAGGAGAAUUUUUGUAUUGAAAGUUGGAAAUAAUAUAGACAAGACGGCUUCGCAAAAAAAAUCGUCUAAGAAGAUGGCGGAGACCAAAGAAUUAGAGAAUAUGAUAUUGAGUUUUCGAGUGUCUGAACUUCAGAUGCUUCUUGGUUUUGCUGGUAGAAAUAAAUCAGGUAGAAAGAACGAAUUACAAGCACGUGCACUAGAAUUGUUACGUUUGAGAUCCCAUCCAAUUCAGCUCAAAAUACGUGAAUUAUAUAAAUCCAUACAAGCUGAUCAAUUAGCUGCACAUCAAAUGUAUGGUCAAACAGGUAGUUCUGGGGAACCACAAAUAGAUCAAAACAUGCAUUCCAGAAAUUAUUACACAACAAGACAAGCUAUCAGUCAACAGCAACAGUCACAGUCUUCAGUUUCUAGUGGAAAGGAUUUACCACCUGCACAUCAAGCAUCUCUACCUCAAGCACCUAGAACAAAUCCAGUCUAUCAGUCAACAGCAUAUGCCAACGUAACACCGCAACAAACAACAAGUGCAGCCUAUAAUCCAUAUCCAUAUGCACCAAAAGUUUUACCAUCACCAUUGCAAAUACAACCUAGAAAUCAAUAUCCUGUUCAUCCAGAUGUUAGACUUAGAAAGCUACCAUUUUUUGAUUUAUUGGCUGAAUUGCUGAAGCCAUCUAGUUUAAUGCCUCAAGGAUCUAUGAGACUUCAAGAGAAUACAUUUAUGUUUCAUCUAACACCACAGCAGUCAACAGAUGUAGCAAGUUCACGAGAUUGUCGUGCAGGAAGUAAAAUGGAUUACACAGUACAGAUACAGAUGCGGUUUUGUUUGCAAGAAACAUCGUGUGAACAGGAGGACUGUUUUCCACCAAGCAUUGCAGUAAAAGUUAAUGGAAAACUGUGUCCUUUACCUAAUCCAAUACCUACUAAUAAGCCGGGGGUAGAACCAAAGAGGCCGCCACGGCCUGUCAAUAUUAGUCCUCUAGUUAAAUUAUCUCCUACUGUAGCGAAUCAAAUUCACGUAACAUGGUCGGCAGACUACGGCAGACGAUACGCAAUUGCGAUAUAUUUAGUUCGAAAGCUUUCAAGUGCUGAAUUAUUAUCAAGGUUAAAAAGUAGGGGAGUUCGACAUUCGGAUUAUACAAGAGGUUUAAUUAAGGAGAAACUUAACGAAGAUGCGGAUAGUGAAAUAGCGACAACAUCGCUUAGAGUAUCGUUAGCUUGUCCGUUAGGCAAGAUGCGAAUGUGUACACCAUGUCGUGCAUCAACAUGUUCACAUUUACAAUGUUUUGAUGCAUCCCUAUUCCUUCAAAUGAAUGAAAGAAAACCAACAUGGAAUUGCCCAGUUUGUGAUAAGCCAGCGUUAUAUGAUAAUCUCGUUAUCGAUGGCUACUUUCAAGAAGUGUUGAACUCUAAGAAACUAUUACCAGAUGUAAAUGAAAUUCAAUUAUUGCAAGAUGGGUCGUGGGAAAAUUUGGUUCUAAAGAAAGAAAAGGAUAAGGAGAAGAGUGAAACAAAAGUUAUUACAAAUUCGCAAGAUCGUAAAAUCGAUGUGGAUACAGUCGACCUCGGUGACAAAUGGAAAACCUUAUCAGUAGAAAAUGAGCGUUCUGCAUCCCACUGGACCAAAAUCGAUAUCCGAAGUUAGCGCCAUGACACUUGCUCCAGUUUGCACUUCAAUGUAUUUCGUCUGUUACAAAUUCACAUCUCAGCGCAUGCGCAUUAACGAUGCGCGCACAUCUUUUUCAAAUCGUCCAUAGGUUGGCGCCUUCAGUCUGUACCAAAUCACGUACAAGCAUUUUUCGUCUUAAGAUUUGUCUUCGUUUUUUUUGUUUCAGUGGAUUUAAGCUGUAUUCGUUUCAAUGCGUUCAUAAAGUAUGAUCAAUAGGAACUGCCAGGAAAGGAAUUGAACACUCAAAGACAACCUACUUAACGCUAUACGCUCGUAAGAGGUUAAUUAAAAGCGGAGCGUAACAAUCGAUAGGCAAGAAAGGGUAGAGUAUCGACAUCACUCCAAGCAGCACUCGUAAAAGAACAAUGGUCGCGUGUCUAGAAAACAUCGUAAUUAUGUCAAAGGAGUAACUGCGGAAGUGUAAAGUACUCCGACAUGUUGCAGCGAAAAUUACGCUUGAAACGGAGAUGUAUGUUCUUCACAAAAGUAGCAUCCGUAGUGUAACAGCCCUCCUAGGAAGGAUCGACUUGCGACCGCACAAUAUCCCACGUAUAUACGAUUAUCGAUCAAGGAUACGUAAACAGCCGUGGUAUAGUUGCGCACACGCGGCGACCAGGCCACUUAGCGUAUGUUUGUUUAGUACCUUUUACGACUAUAUUGUCCGGGCAUGUGUUAGAUUACGGAGCAGCCAGUGUCUGGCGCAUAGCUGAGGGUUGGGUGGUACGGCGCCGUGCUUCGAGAGGGUCAUUUAUAACUGUUAUCGUGAGACUUACUAGCCCACUUACUACCUCCACUGUGUCUAUUCUCCACCCACUCUUCUAUUCUACUGGAAGAAACGUAAGCGCGAGAUGCGCCAGUCCACCGAACCUGCUGGUCAUUCUAGCACGGUUUUUUAUUCGGUCAUCUUGUAUCACGCCAGAGAAUAAAAUCUUUGAGUAACGACAUCAUUUUCAGAAAAUCUUGAUUUUUAUCGCCAGUGUUCUAUGAGAAAAAUUGGCAGUUGUUUGUUUUCUCUGUUCCUUUCCAUUAGUUAGUUUACAUUCUAUAGAUGAUUUGUACAUUAUAAUUAAUUGUAAAAUAGAAUUAUGGUCUCGAGUUAUAUUGCGAUCUUUCCUAAUAAAGCAAGGUAGUAAUUGUUGGCUGUAUUGUUUUCCUUAAAUAUAAAAUUAUUUAGAAAUUCAUAGUCGAGAAACUAUAGGCGAGUGGAGAAGGUUAUUUUACGUAAAAUGUAUAAUUGUUGCUGGACUAAUUACAAUCCUGUUUUCAUUAGCUGUGGGACUUGUAACCGUAAUAGCUAUGCACACAGUCCUAAUCCUUUGUUCUCAUAAAGCCACUUUGAGUGGCGAACUGACCGAACUGAAUGCGAACUUUGGACAUAGCGUUUAAGGUUGGUAAUAUGCUAGCUUUACAUAAAUCUGCGUGAUAACUAAUGUGCAAACUUUCAUAUUUAUUGAGAUAACCGGAUACAAUUGUAGCGGCACACGAGUCAUAGGACAAAGAAAAUCAUGUAGUUGUUUUGCCUCGAAGUAUCAAGAUCGCUAGAUUACAAGUAAUGUAAAAACAAUGUCACCGCUACCAGUAACCGUCGUAGGAAGACAAAUUCGAAUUCUCUGAUCCCCCCCCCCCCUCCGACUAGUAUAAAUAAACCGACGCGAUCGCGAGCAAUAGUUCUUACCGAGUACGUAAAGAAUUCAUAGCAAGUAUUUAGCGUCAUCCGGAAUGACUUUGAAUAUCUAGCGAGCGUCUAUCAAGGAUACGACGGUUACCGCCAAAUCCUGGAAGCCACGCCAAGUGGCGGAAACACGGGAAUUCCAUCUGGAUUUACUAAGAUCAGUGCCAUUUAAUGUGGAGCUCGAUAAAUCCCUUAAAAGCUGGUGGUCGGCAAGAAGACGGUGCAUUACAAUUUUCCAGAAAGGAGAAUGGCGAACGUCUAGGGGAGACGCAGACAAAUCUGCAAAUGCAAGGCUUCAGGUGCCAAAUGCUUUCAUCGUAUAAC